GAUGAACGCUGGCGGCGUGCCUAAUACAUGCAAGUCGAGCGAAUGGAUUAAGAGCUUGCUCUUAUGAAGUUAGCGGCGGACGGGUGAGUAACACGUGGGUAACCUGCCCAUAAGACUGGGAUAACUCCGGGAAACCGGGGCUAAUACCGGAUAACAUUUUGAACCGCAUGGUUCGAAAUUGAAAGGCGGCUUCGGCUGUCACUUAUGGAUGGACCCGCGUCGCAUUAGCUAGUUGGUGAGGUAACGGCUCACCAAGGCAACGAUGCGUAGCCGACCUGAGUGGGUGAUCGGCCACACUGGGACUGAGACACGGCCCAGACUCCUACGGGAGACAGCAGUAGGGAAUCUUCCGCAAUGGACGAAAGUCUGACGGAGCAACGCCGCGUGAGUGAUGAAGGCUUUCGGGUCGUAAAACUCUGUUGUUAGGGAAGAACAAGUGCUAGUUGAAUAAGCUGACACCUUGACGGUACCUAACCAGAAAGCCACGGCUAACUACGUGCCAGCCGCCGCGGUAA
rnacentral:rRNA from 1 species